UGUUCUCUCUCCAAAAGAAUUGCCCCUUCUCUCGUUACAUUAAAAUUAAGGUAAUGUAAUCUUGUUUCAAUUAUAGAUACUUAUCGUGGGCAAACGCUCGACACAAUCGAAAUUGGAGGAUCGUGCGGUGGCCGUAUCGAAUACCAUGGAAAGGCCCUAUCGUAGCGCAUUCGUUCAGCGAUUAGCCAAUGGUAUUGCUGAUAUUUAAGAACGUAAAACUAGUAUUUCAUAUAAUAUUUAGAAGUAUGACUAUUGAUAAUUUUUUUUAUUGUUAUAGAAUCCAAACGGAGGAAGUUGUGGCAAACCGUUGGUUUGGCUCUGGACCGUUGUACAAAAAUGAUAUACCUUUUUUUUUAAGAGUGCUCGUAUUCGAUGCCUGGCUGUUGAGUCAAUUCACUGGCGUUAGGAAGUGGCUGCGGGGGAAAGGCCCGAAGCUUCUUUGGAUCACGCUUCCACCGCUAUUGUUAUUUUUGCUUGGUAAGGAGCAUAAACAAAAACAUCACUGAGUUCCAUUUUCUGAUCCACGUGAUAUCUAAACCGAUCCAAACGCAGCCUUUGUCUUCUUUCUGUUUCAGGGGCUUACAUCGCGCAGAGACAUUUCACUUUCGCCGAUUCUCCGCGCAAUGUCGAAAAUGUGUCACCGAAACGAUCUAUCACAUGUUCCCGGAUAUCUCAUAAUAAAAUUGCGUUCUGCCAUUUAUCUGACUGGCUUCACUCUAGGGCACAUCCCCAGAAGGAUUUUGCCGAACGGAGAUAUAUCGAGUGCGCCCAGAAAAUUCAAAGUCUGGGGAUUGUUGAGCGAGAACGAUCUCGAGCCUGUGAUGUUUGCCAUAUAAUAUGGCGAGUACGAAUUCACGGCGAAUUCUGACGAAAGUUGGCAAUAUUUUCCAGUUCAGAACACAAAGAUCAAGAGUCCAUACGAAUAUGUAGAAUUGAGGAUACAGAGCAAUCACUGGGGGCGAUAUUGCACGUGUUUGUGCAGAUGUCGCGUUCACGGGAGAUCAAUAUAAUUAGGAAUUGAUCGCGCCAUGGCUCCUCUUCACUAAACAUUCGCAAGAUCGUUCAAGCAAUAGCAAGAAACGAGCCACAGCUCUACUCAAAUACGUGCCUUCAACUACCGUUAAUCUUCAAAGGCUGCGUUUGGAUCGGUCUAGAUAUCACGUGGAUCAGAAAAUGGAACUCAGUGAUGUUUUUUGUUUAUGCUCCUUACCAAACAAAUUAACAAUAGCGGUGGAAGCGUGAUCCAAAGAAGCUUCGGGCCUUUCCCCCGCAGCCACUUCCUAACGCCAGUGAAUUGACUCAACAGCCAGGCAUCGAAUACGAGCACUCUUACAAAAAAAAGGUAUAUCAUUUUUGUACAACGGUCCAGAGCCAAACCAACGUUUUCCCACAUCUUCCUCCGUUUGGAUUCUAUAACAAUAAAAAAAAUUAUCAAUAGUCAUACUUCUAAAUAUUAUAUGAAAUACUAGUUUUACGUUCUUAAAUAUCAGCAAUACCUUUGGCUAAUCGCCGAACGAAUGCGCUACGAUAGGGCCUUUCCAUGGUAUUCGAUACGGCCACCGCACGAUCCUCCAAUUUCGAUUGUGUCGAGCGUUUGCCCACGAUAAGUAUCUAUAAUUGAAACAAGAUUACAUUACCUUAAUUUUAAUGUAACGAGAGAAGGGGCAAUUCUUUUGGAGAGAGGACAACUUCCUCCGUUUGGAUUCUAUAACAAUAAAAAAAAUUGUCAACCUUCAAUAAACGCGAUUUGCCACAGCACCUGUAACUGUAACUACAGGUGUAAAUACAUCGAUUAUUUAAUGCCUUUGUAUAUUUUCAACGAAGCGAUCAAAAAAACUUUAUACACGCGCCGAUAUUUAAUACACACGAGACGGGAGCCGUUUCAUUCCGUCAUCAUUUAAACGCGUCAAACACUGUAUAUACAUUCAAUAACGUCGAUAAUUUAUACCGAUCAAUAAGAUUGCACGAUUGAUUGGGUCAAGCAGGAAAAUAAUUACUAACGAGCGUCGGCCCAAUGGUGUUCUACAAUUAUUACCUAUAUAUCUUCACUGCAUAGCCUUGCUAUAACUCGAGGAAAGCCUUAAGAGAGAGAAAAAAGAAACAAUUUCGUACAUAUAUCUCUUGUUCGACAAACGCGGGAGAACGAUUAAGUGAGACGGAUAAAGAAAAUUGGCAAAGGCGGUUUUGUAAUUUCGUAAGAAAUUUUGGGAGUGAGAAAGAGUGGAAAAGAGAGAGUUUGUCCGUGCAAUGUAAUGCGUCGUGUAAAUAUCGAUUUGGCAGCGUCUCGUGCAAGACUGACACGUCGAAAGUUACCCCAAAGCGCGAGUGUGAAUCAUAUAAUAUAAUAAUAUUCGCAAUAAUGCGACAGUACAAAUUGUAAGCGAUCGUAACGAUCAAUUAAUUGUAGUUAAGUAUCGUUAAUUGCUAAUUUCUAAGUGUGCAACACUUAGAAUCCUUCUGGGGAUGUGCCCUAGAGUGAAGCCAGUCAGAUAAAUGGCAGAACGCAAUUUUAUUAUGAAAUAUCCGGGAACAUGUGAUAGAUCGUUUCGGUGACACAUUUUCGACAUUGCGCGGAGAAUCGGCGAAAGUGAAAUGUCUCUGCGCGAUGUAAGCCCCUGAAACAGAAAGAAGCGAGUGGUUUUCGGCCGCCUUUGUAAGGAUCUAAACGAUUAAUAACAGCGGCAGUAACACCCCUCGAUUGUAUACAUAUUUAUUUAUAUUUAUUUAUUUAUAUUUAUUGAUAUUUAUAAGAUAUUUAAAUUAGGUAUUUAACUUCUCUUUCUGUUAUUUAUUUGAAGAUUGCGAUGCGCACGUUCUCGCUUCGUAAUAUUCAGCGUCACUGGCGGUGAAUCAACCAUCGCCACGUCGAAAACGCGAUUAUCACCGCAUUUUUUGUGUAAAACCAUCUUUCCACGCACGCGCUAACCGCAUGUUUAAAUGAAAUUUGCAAAUAAUUAGGUACAUACAUAAAUCUAUUAUGUAUAAAUUCAUGUUUAAACAAGAUUAUUGUUAAAAUAUAUUUGGUACAUUUUCA